GACGAACGCUGGCGGCGUGCUUAACACAUGCAAGUCGAACGAUGAUCAGGAGCUUGCUCCUGUGAUUAGUGGCGAACGGGUGAGUAACACGUGAGUAACCUGCCCCUGACUCUGGGAUAAGCGUUGGAAACGACGUCUAAUACUGGAUACGACUGCCGGCCGCAUGGUCUGGUGGUGGAAAGAUUUUUUGGUUGGGGAUGGACUCGCGGCCUAUCAGCUUGUUGGUGAGGUAAUGGCUCACCAAGGCGACGACGGGUAGCCGGCCUGAGAGGGUGACCGGCCACACUGGGACUGAGACACGGCCCAGACUCCUACGGGAGGCAGCAGUGGGGAAUAUUGCACAAUGGGCGAAAGCCUGAUGCAGCAACGCCGCGUGAGGGAUGACGGCCUUCGGGUUGUAAACCUCUUUUAGUAGGGAAGAUAAUGACGGUACCAGCAGAAGAAGCCCCGGCUAACUCCGUGCCAGCAGCCGCGGUAAUAC
rnacentral:rRNA from 1 species